AUGCAUUUAGAUUUCUUGAAUUACUGUUUCGUGAGUGAAUUAACCAGGAGCUAUAUGUAUCAAUCCUUUCCAGAUAACAUAGGCAAUGAGACUACAGAGAAAGACCUGCUACAGACCAGUUACAACACUAUGACUGAAGAGAGAGACCAGCUACAGACCAGUUACAACACCCUGACUAAAGAGAGAGACCAGCUACAGACCAGGUACAACACCCUGACUAAAGAGAGAGACCAGCUACAGACCAGUUACAACACCCUGACUAAAGAGAGAGACCGGCAACAGAAGGAGAGAGAUGAUCUUAUGACAAAGUUCUCAAAUCUGAAACAAACCUGUCCUGAAGACUGGCAGAAGUUUGAAUCCAGUUGGUACUUCCUGUCUACUGUGAAAAAACCCUGGGGGGAGAGAAGACAGUAGUGUCUGAUGAGAGGAGCAGACCUGGUGAUGUAAACAGUGAUAAGGAACAGGAGUUUCUCUUCAACCUCCACCUGAGCGCCUGGAUUGGUCUGACUGACUGUUACUGAGGGGGCCUGGAAGUGGGUGGACGGCACCCCACUGACCACAGGGUGAGAGAUUUGACCAUUUUACCUUGUGAUAUGGAAAUAAAAAACAACAAUGAUAUAUUGCUUCCAAUCAUGUUCAUAAAAAGUAUUGUUUCCACUCAGAAAUGUCAUUCUACAUGAACUAAAGAUAUAUCUUAAAAUGUAAUUAAAAAAAUACACAUUGACCCCUUUUUGUUGUUUUUCACUGGACUCUUUUUCACUGACU
rnacentral:lncRNA from 1 species